AUGUGCGUGUGUGUGGGCGUGUGGGCAGGCGUGCGGCACACGGGCUCACAGGCCCCUAACUCUUCAUCAGGCCCCUGUGACCUCGCCCCGCCAGGAGCCCCACGGGAGCCUGUGCUUGGACUCGGGGUUUCAGGGGUCUGCUCCCCAUGGGACCCUCCAACAAGCACGAGGGACAGCCCCUCUGGCCCCACCGCCGGCCCCCUCGCCCAACCGGGGCCGGCACUAGGAGGCGGCCGAGAAGGGCACGGAGCUGGAGAUCUCAGCGGACUUGACGAUGGUGAUGACGCUGGUGGUGGCCACCUUGGUGGGCGUGAUGGGCCCGCGCGCCACGGUGCGGGCAAAGGUCUGCAGGGCCUCGUACUUGGAGCGCAGGGCGUCCAGCUCCAGCUUCAUGCUGCUGUUCUCACGCGCCAGCUUCUCCACCUCCUGCUGCAGCUCCACGCGCUGCCGCUCCAGCUCCUCCUUCUGCGUCACCCGCUUGAUGCGGCAGCUGGCGGCGUAGCCGCGGUUCUUGAGCGUGCGCCGGCGCUGCUUCAGACGGACCACCUCCUCCUUGGUGAGGCCCCGCAGGUGCUGGUUCAGCUCCCGCACCGACAUGGACACCAGCUCAUCGUCGCUGAGCACUGGGGCGUUCUCGCCCGCCUCCUUCUUGACCUGCGGGGCCACAGCACGGGGUCAGGACCGGGGCGAGGGAGGCCUCGCUGCAGGGACCCCAGAGGACCACUUGGAACGUUGCCGUGGACGAGCCCGGCUCCUGGCAGGGCCCCCCUGCAUCGCAGGCUGGCCUUCACUCCAUCAGGGAAUGGGGACGGUCACUGUGGGGUCACUCAACAUUGUGCACAGGAUGUAAGGCAGGACGGUCCCCGAUGGGGGCCGUUGGCCCCACCUGCCAUUACCCAGUUACUGUCUGCCACCCAAACUCUGCGAGGCCGCAGCCUGCACGCGUGCUGCCCUCUGUGGGUCUCCAGCGCCUGGUGCACGACUGACACGGGCAGGGGAGCGAGGGGAAGGCGAGGCAGCCUACUGUUCCGCACCCUCGGACCCAGGAGGCCCAGCCAGGGCCUGGCGGGACACGGCCACAUCCACCUGCAGGGCCUCAGGAGGGGCUUGGAGAGGCACAGCCCACAAAUACCGAGAGUCCCCGCUCCAGCGGGACCCAGCUCUGCUCCCGAGCCAGGAGACGGCCGGCCCAAGGGCACACGCUGGCCUCCAAAGCUGAGAGCCCCAGGAGGCGGGCAGCCGGAGCCAGGCCCGGGGAGCUGGAGCAGCACCGUUCACACGUGCCCUGCCCGGGGCCUGGCGGGACCAGAGGCCGCACUGCCCACGCCAGGGUGCCGGGGCGAUGAGCACAUCCUGGCCAGGAGGCACCAUCCCUCCCGCCCCCUCCACCCAGGAGUUAUGUCCUUGGACGUAAGCCUGCGUCUCCGAAGGCUGCAACCCUCGAUUCUGUCGACAUCUCUCGGGGACACCUCCUCCCGCCCUCUUCCAGGUGACAGGCCUUCCUCCCUCACGGUCCGGGCAGUCCUGGGACAGGGGGCUGCGCGGUGGAGACGGGGUGGCCCCUUACCUUUAACGCCUUGUUCGGUUUGGGGUUAG
rnacentral:lncRNA from 1 species